rnacentral:tRNA from 1 species
GCCAGCGUAGCUUAGUUGGUAAAGCAAUGCUUUCGUAAAGCAGAGACCGUGGGUUCGAAUCCCACCGUUGGCU